rnacentral:rRNA from 1 species
AGUACCCGGAGGAAGAGAAAGAAAAUUCGAUUCCCUUAGUAGCGGCGAGCGAAACGGGAAGAGCCCAAACCAACAAGCUUGCUUGUUGGGGUUGUAGGACACUCUAUACGGAGUUACAAAGGACGACAUUAGACGAAUCAUCUGGAAAGAUGAAUCAAAGAAGGUAAUAAUCCUGUAGUCGAAAAUGUUGUCUCUCUUGAGUGGAUCCUGAGUACGACGGAGCACGUGAAAUUCCGUCGGAAUCUGGGAGGACCAUCUCCUAAGGCUAAAUACUCUCUAGUGACCGAUAGUGAACCAGUACCGUGAGGGAAAGGUGAAAAGCACCCCGGAAGGGGAGUGAAAUAGAACCUGAAACCGUGUGCUUACAAGUAGUCAGAGCCCGUUAAUGGGUGAUGGCGUGCCUUUUGUAGAAUGAACCGGCGAGUUACGAUUUGAUGCAAGGUUAAGCAGUAAAUGUGGAGCCGUAGCGAAAGCGAGUCUGAAUAGGGCGUUUAGUAUUUGGUCGUAGACCCGAAACCAGGUGAUCUACCCUUGGUCAGGUUGAAGUUCAGGUAACACUGAAUGGAGGACCGAACCGACUUACGUUGAAAAGUGAGCGGAUGAACUGAGGGUAGCGGAGAAAUUCCAAUCGAACCUGGAGAUAGCUGGUUCUCUCCGAAAUAGCUUUAGGGCUAGCCUCAAGUGAUGAUUAUUGGAGGUAGAGCACUGUUUGGACGAGGGGCCCCUCUCGGGUUACCGAAUUCAGACAAACUCCGAAUGCCAAUUAAUUUAACUUGGGAGUCAGAACAUGGGUGAUAAGGUCCGUGUUCGAAAGGGAAACAGCCCAGACCACCAGCUAAGGU